rnacentral:rRNA from 1 species
UACGGGGGGGGCAAGCGUUGUUCGGAAUUACUGGGCGUAAAGGGCUCGUAGGUGGCCAACUAAGUCAGACGUGAAAUCCCUCGGCUUAACCGGGGAACUGCGUCUGAUACUGGAUGGCUUGGAUUUGGGAGAGGGAUGCGGAAUUCCAGGUGUAGCGGUGAAAUGCGUAGAUAUCUGGAGGAACACCGGUGGCGAAGGCGGCAUCCUGGACCAAUAUUGACGCUGAGAAGCGAAAGCAUGGGGAGCGAACAGG